UAAGGAAUAUUGGUCAAUGGACGCAAGUCUGAACCAGCUAUGCCGCGUGAAGGAUUAAGGUCCUCUGGAUUGUAAACUUCUUUUAUCUGGGACGAAAAAAGGUCUUUCUAGAUCACUUGACGGUACCAGAUGAAUAAGCACCGGCUAACUCCGUGCCAGCAGCCGCGGUAAUACGGAGGGUGCAAGCGUUAUCCGGAUUCACUGGGUUUAAAGGGUGCGUAGGCGGGCAGGUAAGUCAGUGGUGAAAUCCUGGAGCUCAACUCCAGAACUGCCAUUGAUACUAUCUGUCUUGAAUAUUGUGGAGGUAAGCGGAAUAUGUCAUGUAGCGGUGAAAUGCUUAGAUAUGACAUAGAACACCCAUUGCGAAGGCAGCUUACUACGCAUAUAUUGACGCUGAGGCACGAAAGCGUGGGGAUCAAACAGGAUUAGAUACCCUGGUAGUCCACGCCCUAAACGAUGGAUACUCGACAUACGCGAUACACUGUGUGUGUCUGAGCGAAAGCAUUAAGUAUCCCACCUAGGAAGUACGUUCGCAAGAAUG
rnacentral:rRNA from 1 species